AAGUCGUAACAAGGUCUCCGUUGGUGAACCAGCGGAGGGAUCAUUACCGAGUUUACAACUCCCAAACCCCUGUGAACAUACCAAUCGUUGCCUCGGCGGGACCGCCCCGGCGCCCCCGGGCCCGGACCCAGGCGCCCGCCGGAGGACCCCUAAACUCACUUGAUUCCACGGUGUAUCUUCUGAGUGACACAAGCAAAUAAAAUCAAAACUUUCAACAACGGAUCUCUUGGUUCUG
rnacentral:misc_RNA from 1 species